rnacentral:pre_miRNA from 1 species
AAUAAUCUCAUUUUUAGUUUUUCCAUGUCCAACGUUUGACCAUUCGUCUUAUUUGAAAAAAAUUUAAAGAUUAAUAUUUUUAUUGUUACUAGAUGAUAAAAUAUGAAUAAUAUUUUAUACGUAACUAAUUUUUUUACGUUUUUUAAAAAUUUUUCAAAUAAGACGAAUGGUCAAACGUUGGACACGGAAAAACGAG